CACUAGCCCAUAGCCCGACUCAAAUCCACAAAAAAAAAACAAAAGACCCAACAGCAGCCCUAUCCAACCAUCACUGCCUGAAACUGCCACUGAUCAUCAUGGCCACAGCUACCAAAAUAAACCUCAAACCAGAGCCAACCACAACUAACCAAACCACCAUCUCAAAAAAGGCUUAAAUCGCUGACAAAAAAAAACCACUUGAAAGGAGGCGACGCAAAAGAGCCUCCAGCUUGUCUAAAGCCUAUGGGAGCGGUGAUUGCCGGACGCAUCCGCGCGAUCCUAGGUUGCUGCCGUCGACAUGCAAUAACCCUCUGUUGAAGCAGAGGCAAUGACCACCAAUCGGGGAGAAGAUUUAAAAAAACGAAGCCUCCUCACCACUAGUCCACUGCCAAAAUCGAUCCAUAUCCAACCACAAGUAAAACCGCAAAUAUCCUAACGAAAACCACAAACAACAAAUAAAACUGUACACACGCCGAGCGAUGGAGAGACUAGGAAUGGAAGCUCUUUCCCCGCCAGCCGCUGAUGGAUUAUUGCUUUCAUUCUUUAUCGAAGGCAAAUCAACCGUCAUCAGUAGCUUAUUAUCCAAGUGAAUUUGUUUCUCUUGGUCCUUAUUUCUUCCUGAUUCUACAUCAGUAGCUUGUUACACUUUAGAGGAUAUACUGUGAGCUAUUUGUUUGAUAGUUUUUUUGUGAGAGAAAUUGACACAAUAGCCAAGCAACGCAAAGAAUAAUGGCAAACAGCAAAUACGAGUAUGUGAAGUCAUUCGAGGUUAAUGAUGAGGUCAUGUCCCCUAACCUCAUUGUUGUUCGAAUUAAUGGCUGUGACUUUCGGAGAUUCUCUGAAGUUCAUGAAUUUGAGAGACCAAAUGAUGAGACAGCCUUGAAUUUGAUGAAUGCUUGCGCAAUCUCUGUUUUAGAAGAGUAUCCUGACAUUGUCUUCUCCUAUGGCUUUAGUGAUGAAUAUAGUUUUGUUUUCAAGAAGACAACAAAGUUCUACCAAAGGCGAGCCAGCAAAAUUCUAUCCCUCAUUGUUUCCUUUUUCUCUUCAAUUUAUCCUACAAAAUGGAAAGAGUUCUUCCCCCAGAAAGAGAUGAGAUAUCCCCCAACAUUUCAUGGGCGGGUCAUAUGUUGUGCAACAAUAGAGGUUCUACAAGAAUAUCUUUCAUGGAGACAAAAUGAAUGCCAUACUAAUAACCAGUAUAACACUUGUCUUUGGAAGUUGGUUGAAAGUGGGAAGACUGAAAAAGAAGCGCAAGAAAUUUUGAAGGGCACUCAAAAGCAAGAGAAAAAUGAGCUUCUCUUUCAACAAUUUGGUGUCAACUACAAAAAACUUCCUGAGAUGUUUCGUCAAGGAUCUUGUGUUUUCAUGAAACAAGAGGAAGAUAUUGCAAAGUAUAGUGAGAAUGGUACUCCUGUCAAGAGACUACGGAGAAAGGCAAGAAUAGUCCAUUCUGAGAACGUUGCUGGGAGAAGCUUUUGGAAUGUGCACCAAAAUCUUCUCAAGGACAUAGGCGGUUUUGCAGAAGAUAAUGGUAAAAUUAACCCUGACUACAUUAGGUCUUUCCUAUUCGAAAACAAAUUGAUGCCGUCUACUUGGAUUGUGAUUAGAAUUGAUGGAUGCCAUUUUCACAGAUUUUGUGAUGUUCAUGCAUUUGAGAAGCCGAAUGAUUUGCAAGCUCUGAACCUUAUGAAUUCAUGUGCAAUGGCCGUUUUAAAAGAGUUUCAAGAUGUUAUGUUUUCUUAUGGUGUUAGUGAUGAGUACAGCUUUGUUCUGAAGAAGGACUCUGAAUUUUUCCAGAGGCGAGCCAGUGGUAUUGUUUCUGCCAUCGUGUCAUUCUUCUCCUCAAUGUAUGUGAUGAAUUGGAAAUCUUUCUUCCCAGAGAAAGAACUCAAGUAUGCUCCUUCCUUUGAUGGAAGGGCUAUAUGCUAUCCUUCAUCUGAGAUUCUUCGAGAUUAUCUUUCUUGGAGACAAGUUGAUUGCCACAUCAACAAUCAAUACAAUACUUGUUUUUGGGCACUUGUUAAGUCUGGAAAAAGUAAAAGUGAUGCUCAAAAUACUUUAAAGGGUACUCAAGCACGAGAGAAAAAUCAAAUGCUCAAGCAAUUUGGUAUUGACUACAAUGCAUUACCAGCCAUGCUUCGCCAGGGUUCCUGUGUUUUCAGAUUAAAGAUUAGACAUUGAUAUUGCGGGAAAGAUGUAGUUUUAUUUGGCCUUCAUUUAUGUGAAUAAUGUUUUUCUGAAACUUGGAAUGCCAACUGCGGAAACCAAAGGAUAGAAUAUAUUUGGUGAACUGUGGUGAUUGGCCUUCAUUGUAGACUUUGACAUGCUCUUUAAUACUCCAAACUUUCAAAGAUGGCUGAAACUGUCUUACGAUGUUUGACAAAUAGAAUGAGGAUGUUGUGAUACAUGACAAUGGAGCAUGUGUUAAAAAGGUAAUUGUAGACUAUUGCAACAUAAUUGAGCCGAGUUUUUGGGAAGCACAUCCAGGCAUCAUUGAUUAAAAGCCCUAUGUACUAGUAAGCACCUUUUUGUC